rnacentral:rRNA from 1 species
GACGAACGCUGGCGGCGUGCUUAACACAUGCAAGUCGAACGGAAAGGCCCUGCUUUUGUGGGGUGCUCGAGUGGCGAACGGGUGAGUAACACGUGAGUAACCUGCCCUUGACUUUGGGAUAACUUCAGGAAACUGGGGCUAAUACCGGAUAGGUGCUCCUGCUGCAUGGUGGGGGUGGGAAAGUUUCGGCGGUUGGGGAUGGACUCGCGGCUUAUCAGCGUGUUGGUGGGGUAGUGGCUUACCAAGGCUUUGACGGGUAGCCGGCCUGAGAGGGUGACCGGCCACAUUGGGACUGAGAUACGGCCCAGACUCCUACGGGAGGCAGCAGUGGGGGAUCUUGCACAAUGGGCGGAAGCCUGAUGCAGCAACGCCGCGUGCGGGAUGACGGCCUUCGGGUUGUAAACCGCUUUCGCCUGUGACGAAGCGUGAGUGACGGUAAUGGGUAAAGAAGCACCGGCUAACUACGUG